rnacentral:tRNA from 1 species
GCCGAAGUGGCGGAACCGGCAGACGCCGCGGACUUAAAAUCCGCUGGGGGUAACCCCGUGGGGGUUCGAAUCCCCCCUUCGGCA